GGGGAAUAUUGGUCAAUGGGCGCAAGCCUGAACCAGCCAUGCCGCGUGCAGGAAGACGGCCCUAUGGGUUGUAAACUGCUUUUGUCAGGGAAUAAACCCCCGUACGUGUACGGGGCUGAAGGUACCUGAAGAAUAAGCAUCGGCUAACUCCGUGCCAGCAGCCGCGGUAAUACGGAGGAUGCAAGCGUUAUCCGGAUUCAUUGGGUUUAAAGGGUGCGCAGGCGGAUUGAUAAGUCAGGGGUGAAAUCCCACAGCUCAACUGUGGAACUGCCUUUGAUACUGUUAGUCUUGAGUGCGGAUGAGGUAGGCGGAAUUUGUGGUGUAGCGGUGAAAUGCAUUGAUAUCACGAGGAACUCCGAUUGCGCAGGCAGCUUACCAAGCCGUAACUGACGCUCAAGCACGAAGGCGUGGGGAUCAAACA
rnacentral:rRNA from 1 species